UCAUAAAAGGAUCUUUUUUUUCCCUUCUGUCUGAGACCCACCUGCCUUUCUGUCUCUUGGAGCUCCACCGAAAUCUUUUUGAACAGAACGUGUCACUUCCCAUCACCUUAACAUCAGAAUCCAUUUUGCAAAUACUUCUCGCAAAAAUUGAUUGAGAUUGGACUUAAUGAAAGUAACAAAACAUUCUUUUGUUUCCCACAAUUGAGAUGUUACCGUGAAGAUAUCUUUGUAAACUAUCUGGACAAAUUUGUUCAUG